ensembl:lncRNA LINC01572 long intergenic non-protein coding RNA 1572
ACUCUGGGAGACGUUUGAGACCCAGCGUCUCUAGAUCUCGUAUUUGAAUUUGUGGCGCUUGGUGUCCGCGAGUUGCCGAAUGAAGCUGAGCGUCUCAGUGGAACCAGGGAUCUCAGGGAGGGGAAGGUAUAAAAUUUUCAAAUGGAGGAGUAUACCUGAACCUAAUCAUGGAUGUGAUUUUAUGUAAGUAAUAUGUGAGAUACAGAUAAGCUGAUUCUAAAACUUACAAGAAUGGCAAAGAAACAAGAAGAGCUUAAACUGCAAUCAUCAACAGAGAAGCUUUCUGCAACCAAAGUGAAGACUGAAGCCUUAGGCUAUGGCAGAAGUUGGGCGCCUGAAGUACACGUGGAAAUAUGCCAACUGAACAUUGGACUACCACGUCAAGGGUCUCCUACCCCUGGGCCAUGGAUCAAUACCAGUCUGUGACCUGUUAGGAACCGGUAGCAGGAGGUGAGUAGCAGCCUAGCGAGCACUACUGCCUAAGCUCCACCUCCUGUCAGAUCAGUAGUGACAUGAGAUUUUCAUAGGAGCAGAAACCCUAUUGUGAACUCCAAACACAAGGGAUCUAGGUUAUGCACUACUUAUGAGAAUCUAAUGCCUGAUGAUCUGAGGUGGAACAGUUUCAUCCUGAAACCACCGCCCCCAUGUGUGGAAAAAUUGUCUUCCACAAAACUGGUCCCUGGUACCAAAAAGGUCAGGGACCACUGCUGUAGGUAAACCUGCACUGGUACAAAAUGACAGAAAUAUACACAGUCAUUUAUUAUAGCAUUGUUAUAUUGUUAUAUUGUUAUUAUAGCAUUGUUGCAUGAAUACAGGAUUGGAAAUAAAUCAAGGAUCUAGUAAUAAGGGACUGGUUGAAUAAACCAUGGAACACACGCAAACACACACACACAUAUACAAAAUAGAGCUGUAUAUACUGGUAUGGAGAGAUAUACAGAAUGUAUGAAGCUGGUGGGGUGAAGGGAAACAAUAUAUAGAGCAGUGUUUAUUGUUUGUUACCUUUUGUAGGAAGAGUGGAAAAGUAAGAGUAUAUAUUUGUAUUUUCUUGUAUUUUUGUAAAGAAACUGGAAAAAUAAAAAAAAAGCAACUAAUAAAAUGGUUACCUAUAAGGAGUUGACAGGAAAUAUGGUGGCAGGAGUGGGACAAAGAUUCAUCUGUUGCAUUUUUUGUAUAACAUUGACUGUUUAAAAACUUUUUGUUGUGUACUUUACACAAAAGAAGAAAGAAUAGGUUAACUAACCUUGAUACCCAUCACCUAGCCUCAACAAUUAUCAAUGCAUGAGCUAUAUUACUUCAUCCAUAAUUCCACACCCAUUUCCCUUCACUAAAUUAUUUUAAAGUCAGUGUCAGACAUCAUAUUAUUUCAUCUGUAUAUAUCCGUAAAUAUUUCACUGUGUAUCGCUGACAGAUAAAGGCUGUUUUUUAAGAAAUCAUAUCACACUAAAAAUUAUUGUAAUUUCUUAUGUCUAAUGGAAAUUUAAAUAAUAUCUAAUUAGACUACAUUUUUGUGACCAUUACCUUAUAUUUCAGCUGCCCUGCUUCCUUCUUUAUUUAUAGUGUCUAAGUUUAUUGUGGGUCUUCUUAGUACAAAUUAGCAAUAAAUUUUCUCUUGGAAAUAAUCUUAAUCUCAGAGAAAAGCCUCAAGAAUAUUACAAAGAAUUUCUGUAUACUCUUCCCCCAGAUACCCAAAUUUACCAUAUUUGCUUUGUAUCGUCCUCACAGUCUGUCUCUAUGUAUGAUAUUAUAUAUUUAAUUAUAUAUGUGUUAUGUUUUUCUGAACCAUUUAAGGGUAAGUUGCAGACAUAACGCCUCUUUCCCCCAAAAUACGUUCAUUUGUAUUUUCUAAGAAUAUUCUGAUAUAUAACCACAGGGGAAAUUAACAUGAUACAAUACUAUUAUGAAAUCUACAAAUCUGAUUCAUAUUACACCUUUUUUUCCCUUGUAUUUCUUUGCCCUUACAGGAAAUAAAUAAAUUUUUUUUCUGUAUCAGAGUGCAA